AUCUCAGAGAUCAUGGAGCACAGCAUGUGACUGAACAGUACGGCGCGAACCUCACCCUGGUACCAAGCGACACGUCCAGGCUUAAACACCCACAGGAACCGUGACUCUGCCAGCUCCCUUGGAGCAGCCCAGGAUGCUCUGCCUGGGACCCGGCCUUCCCUGCCCACCUCGGGAUACCGACGAAUGUCCCCGGUCUGCGCUGCGCUGAAGCGGCCCGAGAUCCGCCGAAUCACUCCUCAGCAAGGGAAGGGGUCUGGCCGCAGUCCCCGAGAGCGAGCCCGGUGCUGCAGCUGGCAGGAAGCAGCACCGCAGCACCGAGUGACACCCCGGUUAAAUCUGCAGUGCGCCCAUGCCAGCGCUUUGCCUCAGUGCUGAGGAUAAACAUGGUGCAAGUUUUAAUACAGUGAUCCUUGCUACAUUUGUACGAGCAUUACUCUCAUUUAUACAGAGUAAGGGGCUCAGUGCACUCAAUCAACAGCCUCGCAGCCACGCCAAAAACCAGCCUUGGCUUUACCAGCUCCAUGGCAGAAAGGCUCCUUCAGGAGUGGAGCCAUACAAGUAACAGACCAAGAGGUUCAGCCAACUAACUCUCAGUUUUGUUUGGAGUUGACUCAAAGCUCUUCCUCCCAUCCCUUCUCCAAGAGCUGGGUAAGAGAAAACAAAAUGUUUUGUUCAUGGAAAAGACAAUUUGCUUGUGCUCUGUUUCCGACCAUAACAUACAGAGAAGUGGAAGUUUACAUUCAAAAUGGGAAAAGUAUUGGUGACAUGUUGAAAGCAUUAAACAUUUUGAAUUCCUAGCAAAAGUGGGAAGGUAUAAUUUGCUUUUUGAGCACAGUUUGCAAAGAGGACAAGACAAUCCAAACCACUUUUUUUUUUCUGGCAAGUUACCAGCCUGUCACAUUGUCCACACAGUUCCAGUGUGUUUCAGGUUAAACAGCAGGACUAAAUUUCAGACUAUGAGAAGAGAAAGGCAAUUUUAAAAUACCUGGGUUUCUUUGGUAUCUUCUCUUUCUAGUACCUCUGUUUCAAAACUUUGGUGUCUACCUAUGGUUCUGAUGCUCUGCAGCAGGUCUUUUGGCCCAUUUUCCUCAAAUUUUCAUCAAUUCUACAGCAAAUCUUACCAGUUUGCUGUCAGCUGAUGGGUGAGUGCUGAUCACGCUCCAGGUCACACCAGGCUGAAUCACAGGGAUCCCAUUCCAGCACUCCAUCCUUCCUGAAAUGGCUGGGCUUGGACUUGCCCAAGAACAAGCACUCAGAACAAAUAUGGAUCUGCUAUUCUUCAGCCUUUGUUUUUUUGAACUGAAUUUUCUGUUGAUUGCAUUUUUUGCACUUUGAAUUUUUAAUUCAGAAAGUGAAGAUGUUUAUUAAAAAACCUAAUGCAGAAGGGUUUUAUUUGUCAGGAUGGCAUGAGAGAGAUCUCUGAAAACAAAUCUUAGCAGACAGAACAUUUCAAACAACUGUUUGGAUUCUUUCAUCAAAGAAAAUACCUUUGCAAGUUAAGACAAAUCUCUGAUAAAGCUUUCUGCUGUGCUGAUCUCUCAUCUCCCAGAAUAGCGUAGACCUUUUUGCUCCAGGCUGGUUUACAAGGAAUGGUUGAUUUUCUCCACCUUUGUGAAAAUGCAGCAGCCUCUGAGACGGCAAACAACUUACUGGUCCCUCCUGUGCAGGCUUGGGGACGUUACAAGGAGUAAGAGCAUUUUCCAGCAUUGCUCAUUCCAUGAGGAGGUGAAGGAAAAGAGCUUUUCCCUCACUGCACUGGGAACACACACCAUCUCCAUGGUAUUUGUCUUAGAUUUGAAACCUACACAAGCAGCUUCUGAAGGCAAGAACCUACAGGUGAAGACAUCAGAGUGCCUCUGUCUUGGUGAGGAAGAGCUACCAACAAAAUCAUUACUGUGAGGCUGCAGCAGCAUUCCUUGUCAGGAAAGGAGAGCCAGCUGCAGGAAACAACUGACUUCUCCAGGCCUUGAAGUCCAGCCACUCCACUGUUCUGUGUUACUGCUCAUUAUUUUUUUAUCCUAAUGGUACACCAAUUCAUUAACAAAUUGACAAGAACUUUCCAUCUCAUACCUGGGCUACAGCACAAGCUGUGACACUGAUUUCCUUAUAGCAUUAACUGUCUGCUCUGUACAUUGCUCAGAAAGGCAGCCUCAGCUUGACUGUAAUUACAUCUGGCAAUUAUUAAUUCCCCAUAUGUGCAGCCUUCCCAGGUAGGAUAAGCCUUCCCUCAGCUUUGAGCACUUUAUGAUUGUUCUUACUAUAACAGUGAAUAGAUUCUUCUCAAGGAAAGGCUUUUGAAGAGUGGAGUGCUUUAGGCUGUCUUUUCACAGGUGGGAAACAGAGAUAAUGUACGAAGACCAAAGGUCACCCAGGAUGCAAAGGACUAAACACAGAGAUCCCAACACCAGGCUUGUUGUUUAAAAUGCGCAAUGGCUGAACUCAAUAUCCAUGUAUAUGUGAUGCAAGGCAGAAUAAAAAUAGCAGUGGAAAGAGCUCCCUCCAUUUUCCUUUUCUUUCAUGGGUUUAUAACAGCAUCUACACCAACACCCAUCCUUGAAUGCAUAGUGUGCCCAUGGAGCCUGCUCCAGCUCCUUGUGAGGCUGAGGAACAGCUCUUAGUAGCCAUUGUGAGACAAAUGAUGUUGUAGACACUAAUUUUAAAGCACUGAAGUUCAUCCAUCUCCCCAGCCACUGCCAAGAAGCAAAGCUAGUGCAGUCAGAGCAGUUCCCUCACGGCCCAUACCUAGUCAUGGGACUUUAUGAGAAAUAGAGCUUUGCAUGGUUGGUGGUUUCAGCCUUAUCAUGCCAAUGAAAAUAGCAAAUAGGUUCUUGAUGUUAGCCCCAGGGUCCUGGUUUUCAAACAAAAAUCUGAGGAAUCCCAGUCCCAAGAGUUUUCUUACCUUGUUUUGUCUCAGCUCAGCAUUUUUCUUUCCUGCCUGCUCUCAGAAGCACCAGUGGAAGGGAUUACCCUUUACAUGGAGAGUCUCAGAACCAAGAAUUACAAAUUACUCCUCUGCACAGCACCCAUUGACUACCAACCUGCUACAUAAGUGAGGAUCCAAACCAGCAUCGUUAUUUAUUAUUAUUUCAUAUAUAUUAUAUAUGAAUAUAUAUAAUAUAUAUAUGAAUACAUAUAUAUGUAAUAUGUUAUUAUUUAAUAUAAUAUUUCAGCAUUAGUAACAGAUUAAGAAGCAAAGACCUCCCUUUCCCAAAGUCUAGGUGAACCCCACAUCACUGGGAUUCAGUGAGCUUCAAAUAGCAGAGACACCCAUACUAUCUUAGCAGGGUUUCAGAUUUGAUGGCCUAAUUCCUGUACCCAGCACUACACUCAUUUAAGUGGUGUUAUUCUGCCACAGCACUGUCAAAUCACCCCAAAUGAAAAGCCAGAUAAUGAGAUUUUGCAGAUUCUCAUUAUAAAGACUAAGUAGAAACCCAUUGGAAUCCUCCUUAUUUCAGAAGGCAGAUGAGGUGAGACACUGAGGUACCACUGCUACACCACUCAGUGAAGCUGGGGGUAGGACAACACUCAGACAUUAAAGUGUCAGUCUUGUUGAGUUUGUGUCUGUUUUAAUUUGGACUCAUCGUUACACCAAGACUUACUGCAUACGGAAUAACACAGGUACGUGCAAGUAGUUGGAGAGCAGAUAUAUUUCUCAAGUGUGAGAGGAUCAGACCCUCACUUCUCAUGGAAUUCUGGUCAGAGGUAGCAUGUCACUUCAUUAAACACUGAAAAUACAAGCCAAGGGACAGUACUAAACUAAUCCUUUUCCACAGAAAGGCUUGAGGAAUGUGUGGAGCAAUCCCAGCUGGGUGACUCAAAUCCCAACCCACCAUUAGUCUGAAUUUUCCUCACAAUUCACAUGUUCAUAGAGAUGUCACCAAUUUGGGAAAUCCACCAACUUCAGCAGCCAGUAAUCAGUUUCCAUUCUGUGGAGAGCCUCAUUCCUCUUCAUGAACAGGAGUGUGCUGCCUUCCUCGGUCUCCUUCUAGCCCCAGGCAUCUUUCCUUUAUUCCUACACACAGUGACACUUUCCACAGGCAAGACUAGAAGACUUUUUUUUUUUUUUUUUUUUAGUUUGUGGGCUUUGGGAAAGUAAAUUCAUCACUAAAUAUGCCCAGCAAGGAUAAGAAUAGCUGUAACAAGGAGAACCAAUAGGCAAAGUUAAAGAUCUGGAAGAAGUAUCCCAAGUUGACAGAAGGGGAGGCACAUCUGCUCAGUGAAGUUUGCAGCUAUUUUUGUGUGGCUUUGCUUAAGCUAAAUGAUGGCUGAAUCCACAUGUUUAUUCCAGGCUUUGCUCUGCAGCUAAGUUUCCUAUUUCCAUAGGAGAAACUCUGCUCAGCUCACCAUUAAUAUUUGUCCUGGAAUUUCAGCAAAAAGCCCUUGAACU